AUGUUGUCCGUGCGCGUCGCCGUGGCCAUGGCCCACGCCCUCCCUUGGCGGGCUGGACUGGUCUCCAGAAAUGCUUUGGGUUCAUCGUUCAUUGCCACAAGGAACCUCCAUGCCUCUAGCACUCGUCUUCAGAAGACUAGCACUGCUGAGAUGUCUAUUCUUGAAGAGCGUAUUCUCGGAGCUGAUACCUCUGUUGACCUUGAGGAGACUGGGCAUGUCUUAAGUAUUGGUGAUAGUGUUGCUUGAGUUCAUAGGCUGAGGAAUGUUCAAGCAGAAGAAAUGGUAGUAUUUUCUUCAGGUUUACAGGGUAUGUCUCUGAACUUGGAACCUGACAACGUCGGGGUUGUCGUAUUUGGAAAUGAUAAGCUGAUUAAGGAAGGAGACAUUGUGAAGAGAUGGGGAGCCAUCGUGGAUGCGCCCGUGGGUGAGGAGCUACUGGGCCGGGUGGUGGACGCCCUUGGUAAUGCCAUUGUCAGAAAGGGUUCAGUUGGUUCUAAGACCCAUAGGCGAGUUUGUCUGAAAGCCCCUGGAAUCAUUCCUCGAAUCUCAGUACGGGAACCCAUGCGGACUGGCAUUAAGGCUGUGGAUAGCUUGGUGCGAAUUGGUCGUGGUCAGCGUGAGCUGAUUAUUGAUGACAGACAGACUGGGAAAACCUCCAUUUCUAUCGAUACGAUCAUUAACCAGAAGCGCUUCAAUGACGGAACUGAUAAGAAGAAGAAGCUGUACUGCAUCUAUGUGGCUGUUGGGCAGAAGAGGUCCAUGGUGGCCCACCUGGUGAAGAGGCUCGCAGACGCAGAUGCCAUGAAGUACACUACCGUGGUGUCAGACACGGCUUCAGAUGCUGCCCCACUACAGUACCUGGCUCCUUACUCUGGCUGUUCCAUGGGAGAGUAUUUUAGAGACAAUGGCAAACAUGCUUUGAUCAUCUAUGACGACUUAUCCAAACAGGCUGUUGCUUACCACCAGAUAUCUUUGCUUCUCCGCCCCCAGGUGGGGAGGCCUACCCUGGAGAGAUGUGUUCUACCUGCACUCCCAGUUGCCGGAGAGACCAGCUAAAAUGAAUGAUGCCUUUGGGGGCGGCUCCUUGACUGCUUUACCAGUCAAUGAGACACAGGCUGGUGAUGUGUCAGCUUACAUUCCAACAAAUGUCAUUUCCAUCACUGACAGACAGAUCUUCUUGGAAACAGAAUUGUUCUAUAAAGGCAUCCGCCCAGCCAUCAAUGUUGGCUUGUCUGUGUCCCGUGUUGCAUCUGCUGCUCAAACCAGGGCUAUGAAGCAGGUGGCAGAUACCAUGAAGUUGGAACUGGCUCAGUAUCGCGAGGUUGCUACUUCUGCCCAGUUUGGUUCUGACCUUGACACUGCCACUCAGCAACUCCUGAGUCGUGGUGUUUGUCUGACUGAGCUGCUGAAACAACGACAGUACUUUCCUAUGGCUAUUGAGGAGCAGGUGGCUGUUAUCUAUGUGGGUGUCAGGGGACAUCUGGACAAGUUGGAGCCCAGCAAGAUCACCAAAUUCGAGAAUGCUUUCCUGUCUCAUGUCAUCAGCCAGCACUAGGCUUUGUUGGGCAUUAUCAGGGCUGAUGGGAAGAUCUCUGAAGAGUCAGAUGCAAAGCUGGAAGAGAUCGUAACCAACUUCUUAGCUGAAUUUGAAGCGUAA